rnacentral:rRNA from 1 species
UACGAAGGGGGCUAGCGUUGCUCGGAAUUACUGGGCGUAAAGCGCACGUAGGCGGUUUCUUAAGUCGGUGGUGAAAGCCCGGGGCUCAACUCCGGAAUUGCCUUUAAGACUGCAUCGCUAGAAUUGUGGAGAGGUAAGUGGAAUUCCGAGUGUAGAGGUGAAAUUCGUAGAUAUUCGGAAGAACACCAGUGGCGAAGGCGACUUACUGGACACAUAUUGACGCUGAGGUGCGAAAGCGUGGGGAGCAAACAGG